rnacentral:tRNA from 1 species
UAUUCGUUGAUGUAAAGUGCAUGAAAAGUUUUGAUCUUUUUUGAGAUGGUGUGAUUCCAUUACGUUUAA